UUAAGCGACUAAGCGUACACGGUGGAUGCCCUGGCAGUCAGAGGCGAUGAAGGGCGUGCUAAUCUGCGAUAAGCGCCGGUAAGGUGAUAUGAACCGUUAUAACCGGCGAUACCCGAAUGGGGAAACCCAGUGUGACUCGUCACACUAUCAUUAACUGAAUCCAUAGGUUAAUGAGGCGAACCGGGGGAACUGAAACAUCUAAGUACCCCGAGGAAAAGAAAUCAACCGAGAUUCCCCCAGUAGCGGCGAGCGAACGGGGAGGAGCCCAGAGCCUGAAUCAGCAUGUGUGUUAGUGGAAGCGUCUGGAAAGGCGCGCGAUACAGGGUGACAGCCCCGUACACAAAAGCGCAUGUGCUGUGAGCUCGAUGAGUAGGGCGGGACACGUGGUAUCCUGUCUGAAUAUGGGGGGGACCAUCCUCCAAGGCUAAAUACUCCUGACUGACCGAUAGUGAACCAGUACCGUGAGGGAAAGGCGAAAAGAACCCCGGCGAGGGGAGUGAAAAAGAACCUGAAACCGUGUACGUACAAGCAGUGGGAGCACCCUUCGGGGUGUGACUGCGUACCUUUUGUAUAAUGGGUCAGCGACUUAUAUUCUGUAGCAAGGUUAACCGAAUAGGGGAGCCGGAGGGAAACCGAGUCUUAAUUGGGCGUUAAGUUGCAGGGUAUAGACCCGAAACCCGGUGAUCUAGCCAUGGGCAGGUUGAAGGUUGGGUAACACUAACUGGAGGACCGAACCGACUAAUGUUGAAAAAUUAGCGGAUGACCUGUGGCUGGGGGUGAAAGGCCAAUCAAACCGGGAGAUAGCUGGUUCUCCCCGAAAGCUAUUUAGGUAGCGCCUCGUGAAUUCAUCUCCGGGGGUAGAGCACUGUUUCGGCUAGGGGGCCAUCCCGGCUUACCAACCCGAUGCAAACUGCGAAUACCGGAGAAUGUUAUCACGGGAGACACACGGCGGGUGCUAACGUCCGUCGUGAAGAGGGAAACAACCCAGACCGCCAGCUAAGGUCCCAAAGUCAUGGUUAAGUGGGAAACGAUGUGGGAAGGCCCAGACAGCCAGGAUGUUGGCUUAGAAGCAGCCAUCAUUUAAAGAAAGCGUAAUAGCUCACUGGUCGAGUCGGCCUGCGCGGAAGAUGUAACGGGGCUAAACCAUGCACCGAAGCUGCGGCAGCGACACUGUGUGUUGUUGGGUAGGGGAGCGUUCUGUAAGCCUGCGAAGGUGGCCUGUGAGGGUUGCUGGAGGUAUCAGAAGUGCGAAUGCUGACAUAAGUAACGAUAAAGCGGGUGAAAAGCCCGCUCGCCGGAAGACCAAGGGUUCCUGUCCAACGUUAAUCGGGGCAGGGUGAGUCGACCCCUAAGGCGAGGCCGAAAGGCGUAGUCGAUGGGAAACGGGUUAAUAUUCCCGUACUUGGUGUUACUGCGAAGGGGGGACGGAGAAGGCUAUGUUGGCCGGGCGACGGUUGUCCCGGUUUAAGCGUGUAGGUGUGUGUUCCAGGUAAAUCCGGUUCACUUUAACACUGAGGCGUGACGACGAGGCACUACGGUGCUGAAGCAACAAAUGCCCUGCUUCCAGGAAAAGCCUCUAAGCAUCAGGUAACAUCAAAUCGUACCCCAAACCGACACAGGUGGUCAGGUAGAGAAUACCAAGGCGCUUGAGAGAACUCGGGUGAAGGAACUAGGCAAAAUGGUGCCGUAACUUCGGGAGAAGGCACGCUGACACGUAGGUGAAGUGAUUUACUCAUGGAGCUGAAGUCAGUCGAAGAUACCAGCUGGCUGCAACUGUUUAUUAAAAACACAGCACUGUGCAAACACGAAAGUGGACGUAUACGGUGUGACGCCUGCCCGGUGCCGGAAGGUUAAUUGAUGGGGUCAGCGCAAGCGAAGCUCCUGAUCGAAGCCCCGGUAAACGGCGGCCGUAACUAUAACGGUCCUAAGGUAGCGAAAUUCCUUGUCGGGUAAGUUCCGACCUGCACGAAUGGCGUAAUGAUGGCCAGGCUGUCUCCACCCGAGACUCAGUGAAAUUGAACUCGCUGUGAAGAUGCAGUGUACCCGCGGCAAGACGGAAAGACCCCGUGAACCUUUACUAUAGCUUGACACUGAACAUUGAGCCUUGAUGUGUAGGAUAGGUGGGAGGCUUUGAAGCGUGGACGCCAGUCUGCGUGGAGCCGACCUUGAAAUACCACCCUUUAAUGUUUGAUGUUCUAACGUGGACCCGUAAUCCGGGUUGCGGACAGUGUCUGGUGGGUAGUUUGACUGGGGCGGUCUCCUCCUAAAGAGUAACGGAGGAGCACGAAGGUUGGCUAAUCCUGGUCGGACAUCAGGAGGUUAGUGCAAUGGCAUAAGCCAGCUUGACUGCGAGCGUGACGGCGCGAGCAGGUGCGAAAGCAGGUCAUAGUGAUCCGGUGGUUCUGAAUGGAAGGGCCAUCGCUCAACGGAUAAAAGGUACUCCGGGGAUAACAGGCUGAUACCGCCCAAGAGUUCAUAUCGACGGCGGUGUUUGGCACCUCGAUGUCGGCUCAUCACAUCCUGGGGCUGAAGUAGGUCCCAAGGGUAUGGCUGUUCGCCAUUUAAAGUGGUACGCGAGCUGGGUUUAGAACGUCGUGAGACAGUUCGGUCCCUAUCUGCCGUGGGCGCUGGAGAACUGAGGGGGGCUGCUCCUAGUACGAGAGGACCGGAGUGGACGCAUCACUGGUGUUCGGGUUGUCAUGCCAAUGGCACUGCCCGGUAGCUAAAUGCGGAAGAGAUAAGUGCUGAAAGCAUCUAAGCACGAAACUUGCCCCGAGAUGAGUUCUCCCUGAGACUUAGAGUCUCCUGAAGGAACGUUGAAGACGACGACGUUGAUAGGCCGGGUGUGUAAGCGCAGCGAUGCGUUGAGCUAACCGGUACUAAUGAACCGUGAGGCUUAACCUU
rnacentral:rRNA from 1 species